AUGUCUGCUUCUUUGAUACUAGUCCAUUAUUUCCUUUUACUCCAAAAUAGUCAAAUGUUUCUAGUAAGUUACAAUCAUCCUCUCCAGAUGUCCUUAAUCUUCCGAAUGCACCCGCCCUUAUAUCUAUUCCCACCUACCUUUCACACCUAUCAACAGAGACCACUUCCACCACCUUCUCCUUAA